rnacentral:misc_RNA from 1 species
UUAUAUUUUAAUAAAAUUAUUAAAGUUAAAAAUUAGAAAAAUAUUUUUUAUUAAUUAAUUUUUUUAAAUAUCUCAAUGAAAAUAUAUUUUUAAUUUUUUAUAAAAUAAACAGAACUUAAAAGGAUGAGAAGGAUGAAAAAAAUUCUUAAAAAGGAUGAAAAAAAUUCUUAUGUAAACUCCAUCCAUCAUUGAAUAUAUAAAACAUAAAAUAUUAACAUAUAUAUAAUGAGUGAAAUUCACAUAUUUUUAACUUGAAUUUAUAAUAAAUUAUGUUUAAAUAAUUUUUUUAAAGAAUAUAAUUAAUUAACGAGAGGAGAAAUUAAGUUGAUAGAUUGCAAGAAAAAUAUGAUGACACACAAA